UACGAAGGGGGCUAGCGUUGUUCGGAAUUACUGGGCGUAAAGCGCACGUAGGCGGACUACUAAGUCAGGUGUGAAAUCUCGGGGCUCAACCCCGAAACUGCACUUGAUACUGCCUCGCUUGAGUACUGGAGAGGAGACUGGAAUUUACGGUGUAGCAGUGAAAUGCGUAGAUAUCGUAAGGAAGACCAGUGGCGAAGGCGAGUCUCUGGACAGUUAC
rnacentral:rRNA from 1 species